rnacentral:rRNA from 1 species
AUUGAACGCUGGCGGCAGGCCUAACACAUGCAAGUCGAGCGGGGUUUUCGGACCUAGCGGCGGACGGGUGAGUAAUGCGUAGGAAGCUGCCCGAUAGAGGGGGAUACCAGUUGGAAACGACUGUUAAUACCGCAUAAUGUCUACGGACCAAAGUGUGGGACCUUCGGGCCACAUGCUAUCGGAUGCGCCUACGUGGGAUUAGCUAGUUGGUGAGGUAAUGGCUCACCAAGGCGACGAUCUCUAGCUGGUUUGAGAGGAUGAUCAGCCACACUGGAACUGAUACACGGUCCAGCCUCCUACAGGAGGCAGCAGUGGGGAAUAUUGGACAAUGGGCGCAAGCCUGAUCCAGCCAUGCCGCGUGUGUGAAGAAGGCCUUCGGGUUGUAAAGCACUUUCAGCGAGGAGGAAGGGAUGUAUGUUAAUAGCAUGCAUUUUUGACGUUACUCGCAGAAGAAGCACCGGCUAACUCUGUGCCAGCCGCCGCCGUAAUAC